rnacentral:misc_RNA from 1 species
AUUUGCCUCAGUAGAGAGUAUGUGCAAAAACAUCCGGAAAUAUAAAUGAAUAAACCCCCUUGAUAUAACUCAAAACUCCAACUGAUCUAUGACCAACCAAAGACAUAAUCAAGAACAUAGACCAGCACAAGAGACAGGGGGUAUAGAAGGAGAGCCACCAGAGAUGUCCAGAGAGGGAAGGCGGUUCGGAAGCUACCGAGAACUCCCAUUAUAAUCGUAACAACGAGAAUGACCAGCACUUCGGAUGAAAAGUUCCAAACCAAUCCUCUCAGGUAAACAAGAGCUAAGAAGACUGAUAGGCAAAGGACAUUGUUCAUUGUCACUGCUCCAUAUAGCUCAGAAAAU